AAUAGAAGAAGUGAUGAUAGCAGAACAUCGAUAAAUUGAUUGUUUGGAAUAUCAGCGAACGUCAGUUGUAUGAUUUUAAGAAAUCAAUUUAUGGAUGAUUAUUUUUUCACGGAUUUACCGGUGCACUCUUUCGUUUAUUUAUUUUUGUUGGAGGUUUUUUUAUUAAUAAAUGAAUAAUUGUCUUAAAUUUGAGGCACUUACGGCACCGAAACUGCUAAUAGAAAGUUCAAUAAUGUUGCCAGCGGUGAUCCUCGUGGUUGAACGGGACAUAGAAAUCAUCAAAGGGAUGGCCAAACUUUUUUUCCACGGCAUUCUAUACCAAUCAAUCAUAUAAGACUUUUCGCCAACUUUCACGGUCUGGCGUGCAUCGCAAGAAGGGCAGCCAAUCCACAAGCGGCAACCGUGAUAUUGUGCGCGACAAACCCAGACAACAACUGUAUUGUGUACAGAAGUUCGUUGGCAGGAGUGCGACGAGCGUCUAGGAGAGCCUUAGGAAAAGGUUGUGAUCAUCGCAGUUGACGAUAACCGCAAGUUUCGCAAUGUAUUUUUCAAGACAAGGAGAAAAUCACAGAACGAGGGAGAAACAUGUUAUUACCGUAUUAUUGUGCGUACGUCAGGGAAAAUAAAGUUUGAUUCUAUAGAAUAGAAGAUUGAAUAUUGGGAAGAAUAUUUCUUUUUUUAAUGACGUGAUUAUCACUCACUUAUGAAGUACUUACGUCACCAAAACUGCUGAUGGAAAGUUCGAUAAUGUUGCCAGCAGUGAUCUUGGUGGUCGAAUGGGACAUCGAGAUCAUCAAUGGUAUAGCAAGACUUUUCUUCCAAGGCAUUCGAUGCCAAUCGAUCAUGUAAGACUUCUCGCCCACCUUCACUGUCUGGAUCCUGAGCAUACUCCAUGCAUGAAGAACUAGCAGAGCAAAAAUGCCGCAGAAGCCGCAGAUAACCGCAUAAAUCGCUAUUCCGGCUAUAAUUUGCAGCACGAACAAUAUUUCGUAAAUCGGCGACUGUUGCUCGUUCAAAAUGAGAAAAUAACUGGGACAAGGAACACGUACAUCAGAGUUGGGAUCAUUAUCAGGAAAAAAAGGAAGUAUGUGAAUAUAUGUUUCGAUCUUUGGAGUACUUUUGAAAAAAAAGAGGUAGAAGGUGAAAUCGGCCAGGCACCGAUCAUUCCCAUAAUCGGUUUCACGAAUCUCGUGGCGUAUUUCAAAUCCUCCUCCGCCUUUGCUAUUCCAGAUAUAUUUUUCAUGACUGAAUGCUUCGAUGUAACUGGUCAUGCGUGUAUAGCAAAACUGGAAUUCGGUUUGGUAUGGAAUAUUGCGCUUGCGUAUAUGGAUUCAGCGUUAAAUUCAUGUCAUUGAAAUCAAUUUUAUGGAAGAGUAAAAAAUUGAUUGAAAUUACUGGUUUCAAUUUUCCACGAAUGAUGCAAGUUAUUCCAUGGACUGAAGUAUUGCGACGAGAAUUUUGUGAUUGAUAUACGAUUCUUGUCUUUGAUAGUUGAAUUAGAUAUUGUGAAAAUAUUUCAAAAAAUUGAAAAAGUAUUAACGAAUAAUUGUUUAUAGAAAAUUUCAUUGGAUUCAAAGAAAAUCGAGAUAUAUAUUUAAAAGUCUGACAAUAUCACAGCGGUUUGUAGUUUCCAAUAAAUGCUGUUUGUAAAGUUUGUACAGAUUACGAACAGUUAUUAUCUGGAUGGAAAUUAAUACAAGUAUGUCAACCAAUUGAUAUUAUUAUUUUGAAUGAAAUUUAAACAUGUGCGAUAUUUGUCAUGAAAGCAUGUAGAAUAAAGUAAAUUAUUAGUAAAUACUUUACUAAUAAGAAAUUGAUGACCAACAUAACACAUCGUUUUAUUCGUAAAAGUAAGACCGAAUUCAGAUGCUUCUAACAAAAGCACAUUCCAUUUGAAAGAUGUAAGAACUUCUCGUUCAUCUUCACUGUUUGGAUCCUCAGCAUACUGCACGCAUGAAGGACCAAUAAUGCGGAAAUACCACAGGUACCACUGAUCACAGCGUAAAUUGCCAUUCCAGCCAUAACUUGUAGCACAAACAAUAUCUCGUAAAUCGGCGAUUGUUGCUCGUUUAUAAGAACGAAAUAACUGGGACAAGGUAACGGUCUAAUAGUAACAUUGUCAGCAGUAAUAAUGGUUCCCUUUAGAAGGGGAAGGAUCGUCCGAUAGCAUAAACCACCGCCAUACAUAGUGAACGCAGCGAUCAAGACAACCCUCCUUCCGAUCUUCGCUUUCGAGCGAAAAAUCAAUCGCUCCUCUUCCGUGGCUUGUAUCCAAUCAUGUCUGAUCGCGUGUAACCCUUCCUGGAUUUUUUUUCUUCGCCAAAGAAUGAUAGAACACGUACAUCAGAGUUGGAAUCAUUAUCAGAAAAAAAAGGAAAUAUGUGAAUAUAUGCCCCAAUCUUUGGAGUACUUUUGAAAAGAAAGAGAUAUAUUUUCCAUGACUGAAUACUUCGAUGUGACUGAUCACGCGCGUAUAGCAAAACAGGAUUCGCUUUGGUAUGGGACGUUGCGCUUGCGUAUGUGGAUUCAACGUUGAAUUCAUAUCAUUGAAACCAAUUUUAUCGAAGAAUAGAAAAUUGGUUGAAAUUACCCGUUUCAACUUUCCGCAAAUGGCGCAAGUUAGUCUAUGGACAGAAGAAAAUUGAGGUACAUAUUUAAAAAUCUGAUAUCACGUUUGCAAUAGUUUGAAGUUUUCAAUAAACGUUGUUUGUAAAGUUUGCGAACAAAUACGAACAGUUAUUAUCUAUGGUAAGUAAAGGGGAACAAAUUACGUUCUACAGUUAUGGUUCAAUUAUUAAAAUUCUGCGUAAAACAUAGAAAGUAACAUGGUAAGGUUUUUUUGUCUGUUUCGAAUGUAAGUUGAAACAAUUUCGUAGUGAAAUACUAAAUGAUUGUUACUCUAAUCGAAUGAUCAUCUUCGUGAGAAAACAAUUUACGCGUAUUAGUAUGGUUCAAGAGUUUUAUCGUAAUAGCAAUUGCAAGAAUUAAUAUCGUAAAAAUUGUGGGAAAAUUAUAUAUAAAUAUUUUACGAUAAUAUAAUUCUUUAAUUCCUAGAAAAAUCGUUUUAAAUUCAAAAAUAUAUUACUAUUUUAUAAAAUAUAACAAUUCAGGUAACUUUUCUUAACAUGUUCAGGUAUCCCAUCGUUGCCUUUAUGAUCUGGAAAAUAAAAUUAGAACGAGGAGAAUUAAUGUAAAAAUUGAAGAAAUCUAAUUUCUCGAUACAUACGUCGGUGAAACCGGUACCAAUCUAUCGUGAUGGACAUUCUUCUUACAUUAUUUCCCUGAAUGAAGUUUAAACGUGUGACACUUUUUAUAAAAGAGUGCAAAAUACGUAACAAAACUCAUAUACUUCAUCAAUGAGAAUUUGGCCAACGUAACACAUCGUGAAAGUGACACCGAAUACAGAUGCUUCUAACAAAAGAUAGAUUAUCGCAGCUGUGGCAUCGCUAUCUUCCCAUUCCUGAAAUAUUACCAGUGGAUCAUUUAUAAAAGAAAAGAAAGAAAUUCUGUCUUUAAAAAAAGUUCAUACCGUGAUAGCGCAGUAUCCAAUCACGCAUCCUAUGCCUGUCUCAUCAAUGAUCUCGAGCAGAAAAAGAUACGUGGUAAUUGAAGUAAGCGUUUGCAAAUCUGACGACUUCGAGUUUGCGAUGAUUUCUAGUUUCCGUCAGACGUUUUUCACUGUCCAUACAGUAUACACGGGUUUACGAACGGUUAUUACCGUGAUAGUAAGUAAAGGGGAACUCUUGUGUUUCAAUUAUUAAAAUUCUACGUAAAACGGGGACAGUAACAUCGAUUUUUAAAAUUAUAUAUAUUAAAAAUAUAAAAUAGCAUUAUUCUAUACUUAAUAUAAAAAUGAUGACUUUUUAAAUGAACGUGAUUUGGAAGAUAUAUUUUAUCAGUGCUGUGGGUAAAAUUAAGCGCAAAAUUAAAAAAAAAGAAAUUACAAAUUGCAUAUGCUGUUUAUGAGGAAAUUUUUAUGUAAAAAUCUUACGAUAAUACUUCAAAUCUUUUAAAAAAAAAAUUUUACCGGUUUCCAAGUUUACAAGUGGACAAUGGCUAAUAUUGACGGCAAAGAUAUUUGACUAUUUUAAAAAAGAUAACAACUUAAGUAACUUUUUGCAACAUGUUCAAAUAUCCUACGGUUGUCUUUAUAAUCUGGAAAAUAAAAUCAGAGCCAUGUACGAGAUAUGAGAAACACAAUUUAAUAUUAUGAUACAUACGUCGGUAAAAGUGGCUAAGGAUAUGUCUACAACUUUUCCUGCUGGAACCGAUACCAAUCUAUCGUGAUGGACAUUCUUCUUACAUUAUUGCCCUGACAAAAAUAAUGGUUAAAACAAAACUUCUGUGGCAACCACGAGAGUACGAGAAACAUUGUAUAUAGUGGCAUACUUCGUCAAUGAGAAUUUGACCGACAUAACACAUUAUGAAUGUGCAACUGACGAUAGAUGCUUGCAUCAUAAGGUGGAUUAUUAUAGCUGCUGUAUUACUGUCUUCCCAUUCCUAAAAUUACAACUAUUGUCAUUACAAGUUUAUAGUAUAAACGGAUAAUCAUUCAUCUAUACCGUAACAACAUUGUAUCCAAUCACGCACCCUAUACUCGUUUCGACCAUGAUCUCGAGAAGAAAAAGGUAACCGUUCACCUGCGGUAUCAUCAUCUUCAUCUUCUUUCUCCCGUUCUUCUCUUUCAAAAAUACGUGCAAAAAUCCUGGAACCAAUACUAUUAAUUGCAACGUGUAACAGGUAAAUAUCAAGUACCAAUUCAGAAUCUUUGAAAGUGUGGAAGAUGAGACGCGGUUUGGCCAUGCGCCCAAUAUUCUCAGAAGUGGAUACGUGAACCACACGGUAUGCCUCAUCCCAUUUUCCGCUUUCCGUACUCGAGACAUUUUAAUGAUCGAUAGAAUGGAACUGUCUAUGUUGUGGCAGAGGACAUCAAUGAUUUCAGGAGAGUUCGUUGCGCUUGCGUGUUAUAAAAAUUUAAAUAUCCGCAAAUAUGAAACGAUUUUAAUGCUUGUGGGGAAUAAAGUUUUGAAUUUUUACAAAAGGAUAAGAAAAUUGGAUGAAAUUACCGCUGCUCGCGAUGCAUGCUCCCUAUGAGAGAAAUUUUAUAGUAUCUGCUAUUUCUUUUUCUAAAAGCGGUUUUAGAAAAGUUCACCAACAAUAAGCAUAUGUAUAAUUAUAUACCUUGAAUAUAUAUGAAAAUUAAUAAUUCGUCAUAAAGAAUAUUUCACAUAUACACAUAUGAUAAAAAGCAUAUCAAAGUAUUAUGAAUAUGAAAUGUACUUGUGGUGAAAUUAAACAUGUAAAUUUUCACAAAGUUACGAUUUUCCGGAAAAAUUUUUUUAUUAGUUGCAAAGUUUACUGAACCAUAAUUACUGGAAUGGUAGAAGUAAAUGUGAAAGGGUUCUAUACGCGAGGGGAAAGUUACACGCAAAGUUCUGUAAAAAAAGUAGAAGAAAAUAAAAAUAUGACAAUAAUAAUGAAAAUUAUCUCAGUCGACUGCUUUCUGUUGUAUCGCAUGUAUUUGUUCCAAAAAAUGAGCUUAAACAACUGUUCGUAAUAUGUUCAAAUAUCCUACAGAUGUCUUUACGAUCUGGAAAAUAUAAUUAGAAUAAUGUAUGAAGAGGAUAAAGAAAAUUUAAUAUAAAUACAUACAUCGGUGAACGUGAUCAACGAUAUGUCUACAAUUUUGCCAGCUGUGACUUUUAUUGGAUAAUUCGACAUAAUAAUAAUCAGUAUCAAGCCACGCGCUUCAUUCACAGGAUCGUGUACCGUGAUAAGGCAGUAUCCGAUCACGCAAGCUCCACACACGUAUUCGAGAAUUUCGCAAAAAUAAAGAUAAGACGUGAGCUGUUCGACGUGAUUUAAAAAGCUGAAAUGAGAUUUCAUGCACUCCAUAAAUGCGAACAUACAAUCUCUCCCCAUAUAUCAAACCUUUUUUUAUCGAGCAUUUCUAUACUCACUCUAUAAUCUUCAUCUGAUACUCAACAAUAUCCGCGAGCUUCUUACGCACAACUGUCUCGCAAUCAUCAGACUGACAGGUAAGAUCGUUCAUCUUGUUUAUUAAUAUCUUCAAUAAACUGCACGUGUGUAGACAAAGCAUCGUACUAAUUCCCGUAGUACCGCACAGAGUAGUAUAGUUGAGAAAUCCACCGAGAACUUGGAUGAUAAAAAUAAUCUCGUAAUUCGGUGUAACUUGUUCGUUGAAGAACAUGUAGUAACCGGGACAGGGUAGCAAUCUUACAGUCGUGUUGUCCGGUAGAAGAAUUCUUCCUUUCAAGAAUGGAAGAAUCAUCCGAUAACCGACACCAGAAGUGUACAUAGUGAUCGCUAUUGCUAUCAUCAUCUUGUGUCCUAUGCACGCCCUUGUGGUGAAAAUCCACAUAUUUUUGUCGGUGGCCAACGAGUAAUCUCUCCUCACCUCUUUUAAUAUUAUAUUAAAUUCCUUUAUUUGUCGUAGGAGAAUCGUAUACUUGCACACUUGCGUGAUACCGUUCAUAUGCGGGACAAACAUUUUAAUUUUCCCGCUCAAAUUCGCUUCUUUCAAAAAAAUGUACAAAAUCCCUGGGAUCAGGACCAUCAAUUGAAUGAGAUAACAGGGUACUGUAUCGUUUGCGAAGUUUGCGUCUCUGUUGCGAUAAAUAUAAAAUAAAUACAAAGGGUGAAAUGCUGAAGGAACAAAAUUGUACAAUUUUCUCGUAAUUGCAGUUUAAAUUUUGAUUUGAAAGGAAAGUGAACAAAGUGCUGUGUACUACAUAGUAAUAUCAUUUUUGGCUAACGUAUCGUAUAGUAGAUUUCAUUGUAGUUUUCUAACAACAAACGUACGAUUUUAAGUAACUUGUUGUAAUAUAUUCAUAUAUCCCACUGAACUUUUAAUGAUCUAAAAAGUAAGUAACAAAAAAUAUAUAAAAAAAAAAAAUAAUAAUAACACGAGUCCAAAGUUUUGAUACUUACACUAGUAAAAGUGACUAAGGACACAUCUACAAUUCUUCCUGCUGUUACUUUUAUUGGAUAAUUCGACAUAAUGAUUAAUAAUACCAAGCUGCGCGCCUUUUUCACAGGUAAUCGAUACCAAUUCAAUGUGCUGCAUGCUUGUCUAACAUUCUCGCUCUAUUGAAAAUAAAAUUUCUCAUAAAUAUCCUAACAGUUGAGCAAUAUUUGAUUUAUUUUUAUCCAUAAAUAAUAAUAAAAA